GAUGAACGCUGGCGGCGUGCCUAAUACAUGCAAGUCGAGCGAACAGACGAGGAGCUUGCUCCUCUGACGUUAGCGGCGGACGGGUGAGUAACACGUGGAUAACCUACCUAUAAGACUGGGAUAACUUCGGGAAACCGGAGCUAAUACCGGAUAAUAUAUUGAACCGCAUGGUUCAAUAGUGAAAGACGGUUUUGCUGUCACUUAUAGAUGGAUCCGCGCCGCAUUAGCUAGUUGGUAAGGUAACGGCUUACCAAGGCAACGAUGCGUAGCCGACCUGAGAGGGUGAUCAGCCACACUGGAACUGAGACACGGUCCAGACUCCUACGGGAGGCAGCAGUAGGGAAUCUUCCGCAAUGGGCGAAAGCUUGACGGAGCAACGCCGCGUGAGUGAUGAAGGUCUUCGGAUCGUAAAACUCUGUUAUUAGGGAAGAACAAAUGUGUAAGUAACUAUUCACGUCUUGACGGUACCUAAACAGAAAGCCACGGCUAACUUCGUG
rnacentral:rRNA from 1 species